GUGAGGAAUAUUGGUCAAUGGUCGGGAGACUGAACCAGCCAAGCCGCGUGAGGGAUGGAGGUACAGAGUAUCGUAAACCUCUUUUGUCAGGGAACAAAGGGCGCCACGUGUGGCGCUAUGAGGGUACCUGAAGAAAAAGCAUCGGCUAACUCCGUGCCAGCAGCCGCGGUAAUACGGAGGAUGCGAGCGUUAUCCGGAUUUAUUGGGUUUAAAGGGUGCGUAGGCGGCGUCCUAAGUCAGCGGUAAAAGCCCGGGGCUCAACCCCGGCGAGCCGUUGAUACUGGGGUGCUCGAGUUGGAGAGAAGUAUGCGGAAUGCGCGGUGUAGCGGUGAAAUGCAUAGAUAUCGCGCAGAACUCCGAUUGCGAAGGCAGCAUGCCGGCUCCACACUGACGCUGAGGCACGAAAGCGUGGGUAUCGAACAGG
rnacentral:rRNA from 1 species